UGCAUCUCCAACCCCCCGAAUCUUGUAUGCUUUAAAAAUUAGUCGUGUAUGUUCCCCUGCCAUAUGUGCAAUCUUAUGGAAUAUCGUUCGUCCCUUGUGCAUGAUGUCGACCAUCCAUUGUGCACGAUUUUUAUUGUCUUUUGUGGGUGAUAUCCUCAUCUCUUGCUUUUGUGGUGUGAUCUCGCCAUUGUUUGUGUCAUCCAUUGAUUAUGUUGGUCUCAAUGUUGUCAAACUCAUCAUCUCAUUUGCUUGCUCUCAUUUCAAUUUCUUAUUUUUCUCUUCUCCAUAGAUAUGUAUAAACUAUAUAUAGCUCAAAAUGUAUAGUACAUGU
rnacentral:lncRNA from 1 species